UGUGUCGACUUGACAACAGAGAAUCGGCACAUAUGUUUGUAAAUAAAACACCCCUCUUGCCCCUGUGCACAUGUUGGACUCAAACAAAGUUGUUGUUUACUAAUUCUAGCCUUUCAAUGUUCUAAGUAUAUACUUAAUAUGUAUAUUUUUAAGGUGUUGGAAAAAAAGAGAAUAAUUACAACUUGUACUAUGAAAAAGAAAUAAUACUUCAAGAUACUUCAAUUGACACCGGACUAGAGGUCCUAUUUGAUUUAUAUUUUAAUUUCAAUCUGAAGUACCCAGAAAAAGUUUCUUUAACUAUGGAGUUUGCUCAGAGAUAUUUCCUCAAAAUACAUCCGGACUCGGGCACCAAAUGCACCAAAUUUAGGCGUGUGCUUACUUUACUAAAUAAAUUACGAAAUUUAUAGGUUUCAUAUUCUUAACUUUAAAUAUAAGGAGUUAUUUAAGGAGGA